rnacentral:lncRNA from 1 species
AAACCUGUAAGUUUAUCACUAGCACACGACUUGAGGUUUAUAACCUAUCAUGUUGACAUAUUAUGUGCUCAUUCCAGUUAAAGUUGGCUUUGCAUAUGAGUUCUUAGAGUUCUCAAUUGGUUGCAUAACAACUUGGAAGCAAUGACAGGCCCUUAAGCUGCCAGAUGGCAAUAAAUUAACAUUGAGUUCAGUCCAUAUGAGUUUGGAUUUGUUAUUAUCCUUGUCUUGUGACUAUGGUUUUGACAGUUCACAUGGAUAAGAACACAUACACCAUUAAAUCUAAGUGUCAUAAGGUUUCUCUCCGAUUCAUGAAAAUGAUGGUGAGGAAACACUUUCACUAAGUAGAUUUUAACUAGAUAUAAAUUGUG